rnacentral:rRNA from 1 species
AAUGGGCGCAAGCCUGAUCCAGCAAUGCCGCGUGUGUGAAGAAGGCCUGCGGGUUGUAAAGCACUUUAAGCAGGGAGGAGGGGUACUGGCGUGAAUAGCGCUGGUAUCUGACGUUACCUGCAGAAUAAGCACCGGCUAACUUCGUGCCAGCAGCCGCGGUAAUACGAAGGGUGCAAGCGUUAAUCGGAAUUACUGGGCGUAAAGCGCGUGUAGGCGGUUAUUUAAGUCAGAUGUGAAAGCCCCGGGCUCAACCUGGGAAUGGCAUUUGAUACUGGGUAACUGGAAUGUGGUAGAGGGAGGCGGAAUUUCCGGUGUAGCGGUGAAAUGCGUAGAUAUCGGAAAGAACACCAAUGGCGAAGGCAGCCUCCUGGGCCAACAUUGACGCUGAGACGCGAAAGCGUGGGGAGCAAA